rnacentral:lncRNA from 1 species
AUCCCUCCUUAUUCUACUUAAUUAGUACUGCUGUCAGGAUCUGGCUCACACCACCCCCAGCAGCUGCAGGAUCGGGGCCAGCCUGACCCAGGAAUGACCUGGUUUUUGCUGGCUCAAGCCCUGGCCUGUGUAGCAGCUGCUGGGUCACUCAUGAGGCUCACCUGGAAACCUGGAGGGAAGACCUAUUUAAGGAGUGGUUCUGCCUUCGAAAAGUUGCCUUAGCCAAAGAUCUUCACCUGUGCCAUACUGGUCUUGAUUACCUGUGUUUCAGUGCCUCUGCCUGCCUCUCCCCCCACCCCACUUGUCUCUGCCAUCUCUAUAUCUGGACUCCAGUGUCCCUGUUCCUGCCUUGGUGCCCUGCUUGCUUCUGCUGGUCUCCUGUAUCUCAAGUUUCUUUUUCUGGCUCCCAGUCUGGUACUCCUGCCUCUGUUUGGUCAUAGCCAGCUACACAUCAGUGUCUUUGGAUUUGAUACCCUGUGUGGUGGACUGGGUCCUGGUGCUCUUGUCCAUGGUGAGAGGCUGCCUGGGAUAUCUUUGACUGUGAGAAGUACCAAUAAUUUUACUGGAUUGAGCACAAUUGCAGAGGAAUCUUCACAGCAGCGGCACAUGCUUUUGACAGCAUCUGGUUGCUAAUCUACCUCUCUGUUAUGAAAGCAGGACUGGGUCUAACUGCUUUCCUGUAUCUUUGCUUCAUGGAACUUAAGUUGAAAAUAAGUUUUUAAAGAAAGCCAUUGAGAUGGCUCACAGUGUCAAAUCUAGAGGCACCAUAGGCACCACAAUGACAUAAUUUGGACUCUUCUGUUUCUCUGACCAAUGAUAACUGCAAGAUGAUACUGUUCAAUCACUGCAGAAUGAGAAACAACCCCUUUUAUGUGGUGCAUCUCUACCUGUUUUCUGCAUCUGUAAAAUGCUGGAAUUUCAGUGGCUCUCCACCCCACCCCCUCCAACUUGCAUAUUAUUAUUCUAAAUGAUAACAAAUGUUGGUAUGACUCACUUUGACCCUGUGAGCUUUAGCCUCUGAGAUUGUAUUUGUUACUCAGUUACAUCUAUAUUGUUAUUCAAGAGAGAAACGUGAGUGCAGGCCCAAGUCAAAGGCAAACCGUCACUAGUUAUUUCGCCAGAGACAGAGAAAUAAGGUUCUAGUAAAUUAAUAAGCAGAUUUUUCCUUUCUUAUAAAGAGUGUUGUGCCCCACUUUUAGGGGAAAGAGGAAUGCUAUUAAUAACCUGUAUUUAAUAUAUGAUUGUGCCUAAUAAAAAUAAAGUUCACUUUGGCGCUGCA